UACGUAGGGUGCGAGCGUUGUCCGGAAUUAUUGGGCGUAAAGGGCUCGUAGGCGGUUUGUCGCGUCGGGAUGUGAAAUCCACUGGCUUAACUGGUGGCUUGCUUCGAUACGGCAGACUGGAGGUAUGCAGGGGAGAACGGAAUUCCUGGUGUAGCGGUGAAAUGCGCAGAUAUCAGGAGGAACACCGGUGGCGAAGGCGGUUCUCUGGGCGAUGUCCUGACGCUGAGGAGCGAAAGUGUGGGGAGCGAACAGG
rnacentral:rRNA from 1 species